rnacentral:lncRNA from 1 species
CUAAACAUAAUAAUCAAAAGAUGACUUCAUUUAUUCAUUGAUAACAAAGUUAAUAAUGUCAAACUAAUCCAAACGACAAGUAAAUUACAUUGUCAAAAUAUAAAUUCUUUCACUUUCAAUCCUAAUUUGUCUUAUUGCCUCCACUUGAUCCCAUAAUAUUCUGACUUGAUGAUGCAUCACCACUUCCAACAUCCGGUGCCUGGACUAAAUUAAAAUAUGCUUAGAGUUAAUUGAUAAUUUUUGAAAAAUAAAUGAAAGCAAUAUUAUAUUAUGAAAUUCAAGGUAUAAUAUGAGCGAGAGAAAUUAUAUGAAGGCAAUAAAAUUGAAUUAAGGCAGCUAAUAAAAAUCAACAAUUAUAAAUCAAUUAUAAUUUUAGGAUUUACCUUUAGAUUCAUGAGAACUGCAACUGUCUAAAUAAUAAAAUAAUAACCAAAUUAAUAUCUUAAUAAUAUAGAUAUUUAAAUAGAAAGAGUUUGAACAUCAAAGGUCAAUAGGGAUGAUAUAUACCAUGUACAUCACACCACUAUGCUUCCCUUCCCUAGACCGUACAAAGGGCCAAUAUCAAAUAAAGAGACUUAAGAUCAUGACUAUGGUUGGAUGUGUAAAUUAUAUUUAAUAGAGAAAUAGAAGCAUUAGAUGCUGGACCAUGUCAUUUAAAAUUCAUAAUCCAGUAAUAAAAAUGGAAACUCAAAAAUUACUAAUGGUUGCAAAAUUAAUCUAAUUGUAUUCCAUGGAAGAAACCAUUAAUGUUAUUCUAAUGGUUGCAAAAAUUACUAAAUCUUGUAUGCCAUGGAAGAAACAAUUAAUGUAUCAAAUCAUGAUUCAACUCCUAAAAUACUUUAUGAAUAAUAAAUUGUAAUAUUCACCAAUGACAUAAAAUUAGCAAUAUUAAUAGUUUUAGAGUAGAAUUAAAAAAGAAGCUAAAAAGAGGAAACAUGUGAAAGGCAAGGGCUGUUGCAGGACCACAUAUACCAGCUCCCAUAAUCACAAUAUCCGCAUCAACAUUUUUAUCCAUCUUCUCCCAUUUCCUUCCUAUUUAAGAUAUUUAAUUAAGCCUAACAUUUAAAAUACUUAAAAUAUUGUUCAUAAAGUAUAACAUUAUAAUUUUUUUAGAAAUGAAUUAUCAAAAAAGAAAUUGUUUAGCCACAUAAUUUUGGCUCCAGCUCACUUCCAACCUAAACCAUGCAGCAAAGGAAACAACCAAAAAAUGAAAAUAAACUAAGAAUUGACCAUCACUGAUCUCCAACAAAAGUUCUCAUUUCCAAAAAAUUCUAAAGCAACAGAUAUGGAAGAAGUAAUAAAAUAAAGGUUUUUCUAAUAAGUGUCAUAGGAGUACUAAGGUUUUAUGGCACUCCUUAGCAAACCAAACCCCAUAAAAUGAAUAAGGUAUUCUAUCUAGAAUUUGGAAAGUAAAAGCCUAGACAUUUAGCAAACCACAUUGAUUUGAGCUUAGGAGAGAAGAUACUUCAAUGGGCAAAC